AUGGCUAUGAUGAUAAACACUUCCAGCAAAUGUGCCAGUUCUGCUUGGAGAAUUCAUGACUAAAAAAAUUGUUAUAUAAAAUCUAAGCCACUU
rnacentral:snoRNA from 1 species